AUUGAACGCUGGCGGCAUGCCUUACACAUGCAAGUCGAACGGCAGCACGGGAGCUUGCUCCUGGUGGCGAGUGGCGAACGGGUGAGUAAUACAUCGGAACGUACCCAGGAGUGGGGGAUAACGUAGCGAAAGUUACGCUAAUACCGCAUAUUCUGUGAGCAGGAAAGCGGGGGAUCGCAAGACCUCGCGCUCUUGGAGCGGCCGAUGUCGGAUUAGCUAGUUGGUGAGGUAAAAGCUCACCAAGGCGACGAUCCGUAGCAGGCCUGAGAGGAUGAUCUGCCCAACUGGGACUGAGAAACGGCCCAGACUCCUACGGGAGGCAGAAGUGGGGAAUUUUGGACAAUGGGGGCAACCCUGAUCCAGCCAUGCCGCGUGAGUGAAGAAGGCCUUCGGGUUGUAAAGCUCUUUCGGCGGGGAAGAAAUGGCAACGGCUAAUAUCCGUUGUUGAUGACGGUACCCGCAUAGGAAGCACCGGCUAACUACGUGCCAGCCGCCGCGGUAA
rnacentral:rRNA from 1 species